rnacentral:rRNA from 1 species
AGAGUUUGAUCCUGGCUCAGGACGAACGCUGGCGGUGCGCUUAAUGCAUGCAAGUCGAACGGGCAAAGGGGCUUCGGCCUCGGCGCUAGUGGCAGACGGCUGAGUAACACGUAAGUGAUCUGCCCCGGAGAGGGGGAUAACCCGGAGAAAUCCGGUCUAAUACCCCAUACGUUCAUGUGGUUAUGGCCAUGUGAAGAAAGGUUUACGUCGCUCUGGGAGGAGCUUGCGGCCUAUCAGGUAGUUGGUGGGGUAAAGGCCUACCAAGCCGAAGACGGGUAACCGAUGUGAGAGCAUGAUCGGUCAGAGGGGGACUGAGACACGGCCCCCACUCCUACGGGAGGCAGCAGCAGGGAAUCUUGCGCAAUGGGCGAAAGCCUGACGCAGCGACACCCGCGUGGGGGAAGAAGGCCUCAGGGUUGUAAACCCCUUUUCUGUGGGAAGAGAUAGGACGGUACCACAGGAAUAAGCAUCGGCUAACUACGUGCCAGCAGCCGCGGUAAUACGUAGGAUGCAAGCGUUGUCCGGAUUUACUGGGCGUAAAGGGUGUGUAGGCGGCAUGGUAAGUCUCAUGUGAAAUCUCCCGGCUCAACUGGGAGGGGUCAUGGGAAACUGCCAAGCUUGAGGGCAGCAGAGGAAAGCGGAAUUCCGGGAGUAGUGGUGGAAUGCGUAGAUACCCGGAGGAACACCAGAGGCGAAGGCGGCUUUCUGGGCUGUGCCUGACGCUGAUACACGAAAGCGUGGGGAGCAAACCGGAUUAGAUACCCGGGUAGUCCACGCCCUAAACGAUGGAUACUAGAUAUAGGGGGUAUCGACCCCUCCUGUGUCGGAGUUAACGCGAUAAGUAUCCCGCCUGGGGAGUACGGCCGCAAGGCUAAAACUCAAAGGAAUUGACGGGUCCCCGCACAAGCGGCGGAGCGUGUGGUUUAAUUCGAUGAUAAGCGAAGAACCUUACCUGGGCUUGACAUGCAUUGACAACCCAUGAAAAUGGCUUCUUCGG